GACGAACGCUGGCGGCGUGCUUAACACAUGCAAGUCGAACGGAAAGGCCCCUUUGGGGGUACUCGAGUGGCGAACGGGUGAGUAACACGUGAGUAACCUGCCCUUGACUUCGGGAUAACUUCAGGAAACUGGGGCUAAUACCGGAAAGGAAUCCUUGCUUCAUGGUGGGGGUUGGAAAGCUUCGGCGGUUUUGGAUGGACUUGCGGGUUAUCAGCUUGUUGGUGGGGUAGUGGCUUACCAAGGCUUUGACGGGUAGCCGGCCUGAGAGGGCGACCGGCCACAGUGGGACUGAGAUACGGCCCAGACUCCUACGGGAGGCAGCAGGGGGGAAUAUUGCACAAUGGGCGGAAGCCUGAUGCAGCAACGCCGCGUGCGGGAUGACGGCCUUCGGGUUGUAAACCGCUUUCAGCAGGGGCGAAGCUUGUGGUGACGGUACCUGCAGAAGAAGCACCGGCUAACUACGUG
rnacentral:rRNA from 1 species